ACUCAUAAUGUAAUGCAAAUUAUGCUUAAAAAACAGCCAUUUUCAUUUGUUCUGGAUGUUUGUCUGAUAGGUCAUCUUGUCUCCAAGCAUAUCAAUAUUUUUUCCCCCAUUGAAUUAUCCUAUCAUUGCAUUUAUAUUGCACCUUUCAUGAAUCUCAAAGCAAUUUGAAUUGGAGAAAGAGGAAAGCUUUGUGCGCUGGAGGAGGAGGGCAGCAUCUAGAAAGUAAGGCAAGGAGCUUGUUUGCUGGACAGGAACCUAAAUCGGGGUCUCCUGCUCUACAAGGCAAGCAACUUCACCACAUUGCCAAACCAACACACCAAAGGCUGGGCCAUGUAGAAAGAGAAAACAAUAGGCACAAGGAAAUCUAGUUAAAGAUGGUGAUGAUAUUUUGACGUGUUUUAUUUCCAGAAUCCUAAUUCAUCAAUAAUGCAAGCACAAUUUCCAUUCUAAAAUGUGCUUUGUAUAACCCAGAUACAUUUAUGUGAUUCAAAGAUUUUUAUGGACCAGAGCUGUCAAGCUUUUGGGUUCUUAUUGCUUAUGGUUGGAUUAUUAGGGGGCAAACAUAAUCACUAUAUUGUACUCAUUGAGGUUAUUAGGUAGCAAAGCCCUGAAGGCUGCUGUUACUAAAUAUACUACUCCUGGACAAAUGUUGCCAUGUAAUUAAUCUGUAAGUACUUAAGUUUUGGGUUUGAGUUCCCUCAAAAGCUCACAAAAAACACAUAUUUCUAAAGCUCUUAUAAAUAUUUUCAAAGGUGGCAUAAAAUAAUUAAGCCUUAUGUUUAAGAACAGGAACAUUUUUUAGCACCUUUGCAUUGUUGGGCCUCAAAGUGAUUUUCCUGUUAAUGCUUAGAGGUUUAUUCAAUGCUGAUUACCUGUGGUUUGCUGUUGUAAACCAUAUUGCUCAAUCGUGAACAAAGUUCAGCAUCUGACUUUCAAUCCCAGGGUUCAGGGUUUGAGUCCAGCUAGCCUUGUUGCAUGUUUUUAAACUGUAGAAUGAAAACAUUAAACUCUUAAUGGAAAAACUUGUUAAUCAGGUGUAAACAUCUUUGUAAAUGCAUUAUUUUUGUUUACUGAUGUUUUCGGAAUGGCCCCCUUUAUCACUGAUUGCAACUUUAUUUUAAGAUCAAGGAGGGUGAACAACUCUGGAGCGAUCUUUAAUGUGAAUAUCUAGAAAACUAAUUACAUUUCCGUGAAACUAUCUGUAUGGACAGAAACUGGUAAGUGGAAACAUGCCUUAAUUUCAUUUUUGGGUGAACUGCCCCUUUAAAAGAGGACAUCAUCCAUGAAAUGAGACAGUCAAGACUUUUUUCAACCAAAUGUUAUUUUGUCUGCGAUAGAUUGGUGGCCUGUCCACGGUGUAUUCCUGCCUCUCGCCCAAUGCACGCUGGAAUAGGCUCCAGCACCCCUGCCACCCUGCCCAUGAUAAGCGGAUAUAGAUAAUGGAUGGAUGGAUGUUUCUUUGCAAAGUUUUAAAUAUUAUCUUUCAUUACUUAUACAUGGUACAAUUAAUUUAUCAAACAAAUAUCACUAGUAUAUAUAACCUAUUUCUUGAAAUUAAGAUGAAAAUCUUAAACUGUCAACUGAAUGUAGCUCCAAGUUCUUCAAUAAAUAAAUAUUCACCAGUAGAAGGACACUUCUGUUCAAAUGUUAAUGUAUUUUAUGCACCUUUAUUGAAUGUAUGGAAACAUUCACUUCUGCAUUAAAGAACAUAAUUGGCAAA